UACGGAGGGUGCGAGCGUUGUCCGGAAUUAUUGGGCGUAAAGGGCUCGUAGGCGGUUCGUCACGUCGGGAGUGAAAACUCGGAGCUUAACUCCGAGCCUGCUUCCGAUACGGGCAGACUAGAGGUAGGCAGGGGAGAGCGGAACUCCUGGUGUAGUGGUGGAAUGCGCAGAUAUCAGGAAGAACACCGGUGGCGAAGGCGGCUCUCUGGGCCUUACCUGACGCUGAGGAGCGAAAGCGUGGGUAGCGAACAGG
rnacentral:rRNA from 1 species